rnacentral:misc_RNA from 1 species
UCAGGAUUGGCAUGCUGGGCAUCUUCCCAUCGCUGGCUGGUCUCACCUGGUCCACCUUCCACUCAUAUCCUCUGGCAACUAACUUCCUCUUGUCGCGAGCAGUGUGCGCACCCAACCUCACAUGGCCGGCGACUCACUGUCCGCGUUGCCAUGGUUACAUUCCGGGCAGUGCACCACUUGGUAAUUGUACUCCUCCAAGUAGCUCAGCCACCUCCACAGCUGUCCUUCUGGGUUCUUCAGAGUUUUUAGCCACCUCAGCGCCACAUGGUCGGUCCUGAUAACAAACUCAGCUCCAUACAAGUAUGAGUGGAAGUGGGCCAAACUUCUCACUACAGUAUAGCACACAACUCCUUCCUGGUGACGCAGUAGUUCCGCUCAGGCUUGCUGAACUUGGAGCUGUAAUAGGCUAGCAUAUACUCCUUACCUUCCUUUACUUGAGACAGCACUGCUCCGAGGCCCUCUGCGCUUGUGUCAGUGUCGAGAAUGAAGGGAAGGCCGGGAACAGGGAAGGGCAACACCGGAGCACUUAUCAUCACCACCUUCAAACAAUCAAACGCGUCCUGGCAAACUUCAUCCCAGGUGAAGCGGGCAUUCUUCCUCAUCAGUUGAUGCAGGGAAGCUGCAAGGGCGGCAAAGCCUUCUAUGAACCUCCGGUAGUAGCUGCACAGGCCAAGGAAGCUUCUCACACUCGCCACAGACGUCUGGACCGGCCAAUCUGCCACUGCCGACACCUUGUUAGGGUCCGUGCGCACCCACCUCACCCCAUGUCCCAGGAACAGCACUUCAUGCUGGAAGAAAGUGCAUUUCUUCAGGUUCAGCUUCAGGUUCGCCUCCCGCAGAUGGCCCAGCACCACAUCCAGACUUUUCAGCUCCUCCUCAAAUGUCCUCGCAAACACCAGAACGUCAUCCAGGUACACUAAAGCUGCCUUCUACUGCAACUCAGCUAACACCUUCUCCAUGAGCCGCUCAAAGCAUCCUGGGGCGUUGCACAAACCAAAUGGCAUCACACGGAACUGCCACAGUUCCUGGCCGAAGGAGAAAGCCGUUUUUUGCUUGUCUGCCUCUGCCAUCAUCACCUGGUGAUACCCUGACUUCAGAUCCAAGGUGGACAACCACUGAACACCAGCUAGAGCGUCCAGGGUGUCGUCUAUCCUGGGCAGGGGAUAGGAGUCCUUUACUGUGACGUCAUUCAGCGCCCUGUAAUCUACACAGAAGCAUUUGGUGCCAUCCUUCUUGUUUACCAGGACUACUGGCGAUGACCACUGGCUGUCAGAGCGCUCCACUAAACCCUGUGCAGCCAUCUCCUCCACCAUGCGCUGCAUCUUAUCUCUCUUGGCCAGCGGGACACGGUGAUGUGGCUGCUUUAUCGGCGGACUGUCUACCGUGUUGGAGUGCUGUACUAACGACGUGCAGCCAAGGUCUUGGGCAUCUUGGCUGAAGACGUCCUCGUGCUCCAUCAGCAGUUUCUUCAGCUUCACCACCUGUUCAGGAGUCAGCUUGGUAGCGCUACGUACCGCCAAGUCCACCACGUGUGUAGGUAGCACAGGGAUCUUCUCACCUGCAUCUCCGUCCACCUCACUUCUGCAGCUGCGCGCUGCCCGGCGUUCACGGGCAUCACAGUGGUGUCUGCAGUCUCAUCUUCCCUCACAACUCGGCAGUGCAGCUCCAGCCUCUCGUCCUCGACAUCUGAACUCAUCACGGGGCUCUCCACCUGUUCAACAGCAUCCUCAAGGAUGCUGUUGAACCUGCAUCCGCAUCCUUCCGAGGUCCACACAUGCUUCACUCUGAACCAGGAAAUCCAGCCCUAGCAGACAGGGUUCCUCCAUGUCAGCCAUGAAUACUACUGGUAGCUUCUCUUUCACACCACUUACCGUGAUCGUAGACAUCAUGGGGCCUCAUAGUAUCAUACAGCGGCCAGUCAUGCCACACAGCUGCCGGUCUGACGAAGGUCCUCGCCGCUCCAGUGUCCACCACCAGGGGACAUGGGCGGCUGUUCACAGCGCCCGACACUUGGACCACCAGCACAGUAGCGUCGCUGUGGCACUUUACACAGACGGGGCCUGGGGACAACUUGGCUGGACAGUGGCCUGAACUUCCAGCCUGCUUUCUUUUCCCCCCACCAUCAUGACGUCCUUCAGCUGUGAGCAGGUAGCACGGCGAUGACCCCACCGUCCACAGUUCUCGCAGCAAGCCUUGGUGGGAGAACGUGCUCGCACAUCCUCCAGCGAGCGUGUCCUCUGCUUACUGCAACAGUCACUGCAACGAUGACCACGUUUGCCACACUUCCAGCAGAAGCCAUUAAACUCACCUGAGCUGGUGCGCCUCAUCCUCUCCUGCUGGACUUAUGUACGUCGAGCUAGUAGGUGGUGGCGCGGCAGCUUCUGGGUGGCAGAACGAUGGUACGGUGUCACAGCAGCGGCGAUAGUGUACAUGAAGGCCUCAAAUUCCAUGGCCCUCGCCAGCACCUGCUGUACAUCUGCUGGGUGCGCCUGCUUCACGUAGAUUUGCACCUGCUGAUCCUCCAGUGUGUCUAUGAAAGCAUCCUGAGACAGUACCGUCACCAUCUCUUUUGGGACCACUGGUUACGCAUAACGCACCAGCGACUCCACCGCCUGAGCUAGCUGUGGAAGAGACUCACCCUGCUGACAUGUUCUGCCCUUCAGCUGUUCCCUGUACACUUCAGCCUGGAACACACUUCCGAAGCGCCUCCUUAACGCCUCAGCCACCGUCGUGUAUGUUGAUCAUUGGCUCGCCAUUAUGUGUGCCAGAAUCUCCAGCACUGGCCCGUGCAGACUGGCUAUGAGCUGCAGUGCUUUUUCCUGGUCGCCCCAUCCCUGUCCUUGAGUGAGCAGCUCAAACUGUGCCUGGUAUGCCUCCCAGGCCACUUGCCUGCCAAACUCAGCCGGUUUGCGCUGGACAGAGGUUCCUCCUACAUACCGGGCGGAUCCAGCGACAGACGGUGAUGGUGGAGAUUGUGGAGGGGUGAUAGCGUCAUCUUCGGGUGCAGGGGUAUACCACAGGUGUGUCGACUGUGUCCUGCCGCCACAACAGCCAGCAUCACCAGGUUCCAAAGAUGUGUAGAGACGGCCCUGUCCUGCUGGCUCAGGACACUCAGGGUGGUAUUUUAAAACCUUCUGCAAACCCAGGCAAUCAUGCGGCUGGCGGUCACAGGAGUGAGGAAGUCCUCACUUUUAAAUGCUACUUCCACCAGUGUUGCAGAGCUCCGGGCUGAGCGAAUGAGAGUGAACGCCACCGUUAACAUGCUAGACUUUAGCGCAUCACGGACUUAAAAAAUGCGGGAAAUUCAAGUUUGUUUACAUUUUCUUCUGGUACACCAUGGCUGCAGCAUUCUCAGAGAAGACCUGUUGCUCUGCUCCGGUAUCCGGGUUGGAUAAACAACAGCUUAUAGAACUUGUGAAAGAACACAUUGAAGUCAUCAAUGAUAAGAGCACAAAAUUCUAUUCUGCAAAUAAGAAAGCUCUGGCGUGGCAAGAAAUAGCCAGGAAGUUCUCCGACGUGAGCGGCUAUAAGAAAACUCCUCAGCAAGUGCGGAAAAUAUGGGAAAAUAUAAAAAAUAGAACAAAGAAGGUCCUAGAAGGACUAUUCCUUAUAAAAGGCUACACGGUCCAAGACGGGAGGAGGCCCACCACCAAAGCCAGUGGAUCCCAUCACUACGGCUGUCCUUCCCCUGCUAGAGGAGGAACUGGAGCCACUAAGUAAUCCAUAUGACAAUGACCGAGGCUAACAUGAAGUCCUUGUUGAAAAUAAGAUGCCUCAUUUACACUUUGUGGAUCACCAGCUGCUUUUGAAUCAACUCCAUGGGCUUCUUCAACACCCAUAUUAACACACCCCCACAAUCCGGAUGGUCACACCACAGUGGAUGAGCCAUCCACUUCUAAAAAAAAAAAAAUGCCUGCAGAAGAAACUAGCCUUCGCAGGGAAAGAAGAAGCACUACAAUUGGCACAUGAAAGACAGCUCCAGAGGGAGGAUGAGCUCCAUGCGAAACGCUUGGAGCUGUUAUAAAUUGAAAAAGAGAUUCUUGAACAGAAAAAAAGGUUCAUGAUAGAAAAACAUGAAAGAGAAAUGCAAAAGUAUUGUUAGAAUAUUUGCCUUUGCCCUCAUUUUUUUUUGUUCAUGUGGAAUGUUGUUUAUGUACAAUUUAGAAUAUUUGCCUGUGCCCUCAUUUUUUCCUGUUCUUUUGGAAUAUUGUU